CCUGCUUUCGCCAUGUAAAGUGCCUGCUCCCCUCUCGCCUUCUGCCAUGAUUGUAGCCUUCCUUAGGCCUCCCUAGAAGCCGAAAUGCUUCCUGUACAACCUGCAGAACCGUUCCAGAGGAUCCUGACAACUCAAGAAGAGUAACAACUCACCAAACAAGAUCCAAGUAAGGGGGAAGAAACUCAGGACUGCAAAACACCUGGAGGGAGAGAGGGUAAAACACCCUCAAGGAUGGGCACUGCACAGACUGUAACAACAAGGAACGUGGCUUUGCAUCCUCCCAGCAACAAAGUCUACCAUGGAUCCCACGCCACUCUGAUUUCGGCUCAGCCGAGAACUUGAAAUAACGGGCCCACUGCCUCUGCUCCACGAGGAUCCAUGCCAUCAUGGCACUUUGGGAGGCCUGUCACGAGUUACACAGGCCUAGGCUGCCCACGCCCCAGCUCAGCA